rnacentral:lncRNA from 1 species
UUUUAUUAUUAAUGAUGUAAAUUUCUACAAGUAGUUAUUACACUAUCUUCCUGUGCCCAAAAGCUCCUGGUCCAUUUUCUAUCAGGCAUCUCUCAAGUAGAUGCUCAUCCUUCUGCGUCCCAGCUGAGGCCUUUGUGCAGAAAAUGUUACAGUUGUGCCUUUUUUUCCUUGCUAUCUGGGACAGAAGGAGAGUGUAGGUAACCGUUGGUGAGCUAACCAAGAACUUCAAUAACUCCCACAGGAAGAGCCGGUAGGGAGUUUGUAUUUUUGGCCAUGAAUCCAGGGCUUUCAUUUUAAGUUCCAGGGUGCGUCAUGCAGUUGAGCACUGAUUGAAUGGGG